UGAAACCAUUGCUCAAUUUCUCUCAGCAGUGGAUCUCCCUAGUAGUUUCUCUUCUGCUUUCCCUGAAGGAAACCAAGCAUCACAAACUGCCGAUGAGCAGUUCUUAGAAUUGCCUGAACAGCCAAGUGCAAGAACUGAAUGAUGCAGAAAGAAAGACCCUAUAAAUAUUGCAGAGCACCAGCAUUUUUAAAGUGCUCCCUCUUUCCUGAUUGCAGCAUAAGAGCCUACAUUCAUAAGGCACGCCACCCUGAAAUUGAUGGGAACCUUUCUGUGGACUGCACAGUUUGUGUACUAAGCCUCUAGGUUCUUGAAGUGAACCCUUGCUGCUACAAAGAGCUCUUAAAAUUACAUUUAAAUUGGAAAUAGAAAUCUCUUCAGCCCUGA